ensembl:misc_RNA Y_RNA Y RNA
GGCUGGUGCAAUGGUAGUGGGUUAUCAGAACUUAUUAACAUUAGUGUCACUAAAGUUGGUAUUCAACCCCCCACUGCUAAAUUUGACUGGCUUUAA